CCUACGGGUGGCAGCAGUGAGGAAUAUUGGUCAAUGGCCGAGAGGCUGAACCAGCCAAGUCGCGUGAGGGAAGACGGCCCUACGGGUUGUAAACCUCUUGUGUCGGGGAGCAAAGAGAGUCACGUGUGACUCAUUGAGAGUACACGAAGAAAAAGCAUCGGAUAACGCCGGGCCAGCAGCCGCGGUAAUACGGAGGAUGCGAGGGUUAUCCGGAUUUAUUGGGUUUAAAGGGUGCGUAGGCGGCCUUGUAAGGCAGCGGUGAAAGUCUGUGGCUCAACCAUAGAAUUGCCGUUGAAACUGGGCGGCUUGAUUAUGUUUGAGGCAGGCGGAAUGCGUGGUGUAGCGGUGAAAUGCUUAGAUAUCUCGCAGAACCCCGAUUGCGAAGGCAGCCUGCCAAGCCAUGACUGACGCUGAUGCACGAAAGCGUGGGGAUCAAACAGGAUUAGAUACCCGAGUAGUC
rnacentral:rRNA from 1 species